rnacentral:rRNA from 1 species
UCUCAGUUCGGAUCGAAGUCUGCAACCCGACUUCGUGAAGCUGGAUUCGCUAGUAAUCGCGCAUCAGCCAUGGCGCGGUGAAUACGUUCCCGGGCCUUGUACACACCGCCCGUCAAGCCAUGAAAGCCGGGGGUACCUGAAGUACGUAACCGCAAGGAUCGUCCUAGGGUAAAACUGGUAAUUGGGGCUAAGUCGUAACAAGGUAGC